UACGUAGGUGGCAAGCGUUGUCCGGAUUUAUUGGGUUUAAAGGGUGCGUAGGCGGCCCUGUAAGUCAGUGCUGAAAUAUCCCAGCUUAACUGGGAGGGUGGCAUUGAUACUGCGGGGCUAGAGUACAGAUGAGGUAGGCGGAAUUGACGGUGUAGCGGUGAAAUGCGCAGAUAUCAGGAGGAACACCGGUGGCGAAGGCGGGACUCUGGGCCGAUACUGACGCUGAGGAGCGAAAGCGUGGGGAGCGAACAGG
rnacentral:rRNA from 1 species